CGGAGGGAGAGUGGUACGUACUCCUAUUUCCCAUGAGAGAAAGUUUGCGGCCAAUUGCAAAAAAUUUGCGGUCACAGUUUCAGAAAGGAGUUGUUUUUGUUUCACGCUUUCCAAACAUCGCGGGCACGAGUAAAAAGAUUGCGGCCACACUCAAUAGUAGACGUGUUUGUGAUUCAGGCAUCUUCUUCUCACCCAAAAACACAGGUCUCCAACGAAACUUAUGGAGAUUCUCGAUCAUCUGAUCAUCCAGCAGAACACCCAUAAUUCCUUCUCCCGCCCCUUCUCCAUUUACUCGGUGGAUGGAGGAUGAUUUGACAUUUUAACUAAGAUUUUGUUGCACCACUUCUGCUUCAAAUUUCAAGGGAGAUGAGAACUCAACCAGUUAGAAAUACCCAUAGAGUAAUUUCAUCUCUUUCCGCUUCUACUUCGAAAUACCCAUCCCCACUAGAACUCAACCAGUUACUUCAACUUUGCAGCAAAUCAAAAGCAAUAGACCAAGGAUGACAAACCCAUCAACGGGCUAGACGCAGACCCUCCACAAAAGUAGUUCAAAUGCAUGCGGAUUGUGGGGAUUCGAAAUCAGCAUUUUCAGCCCACGUUAUGUUCGACAACAUGCCGCAACCAAAUGUGUUUGGUUUGGUUUAUUCGCAGCGUGGAAUGUCAAGAUAAGUGCAUUGGGGUUUUGUGGUGAGAUGAAAUUGAAGGGUGUAAUUUGUUACAAGUAUGUGUUUCCUAAGGUCUUACGGGCAUGUGCUCAAUAUCGAAACUUCAAAGUGGGGAUUCAAGUCCACAAAUAUGUGAUCAUUUAUGGAGCUGAACUGAAUUUUACAAGUUCACAAUUCUUUAAUUGAUGUGUAUUCGAAAUGCGGGGACAUUGAGAGUGCUAGACGGGUUUUUAAGUUUGUAAUGGGUUUUCUUGAAUCAGCUUUGGAUUUGUUGGGUUCUAUGGGUUGGAAGGUUUUGAGCCUGAUUUAGUCUCUUGGAACAUGGCAAUGGAUGUUUAUUGCAGAAUGGGGCAGUGUGAUGAGGCUUGGUAGAUUUUUGGAUGGAUUGAAGAGCCUAAUAUCAUUUCUUGGACCACAUUGAUAUCAGAUCAUUCAAGGAUCGGGAAGCAUGAAGUAACCUUAGCGACCUUUAGGGAUAUGGUUAGGAGAGGUGAUGGUUUCCCUGAUUUCGAUUGUAUUUCCAGUAUCAUUGUUUCUCGCCGACAUUUAGGUGUUUUAAUAUGUGGACGAAAAAUUCAUUGUUAUGGAAUUAAAAAGGAAACAGAGUUUGCAU